AUUGAACGCUGGCGGCAGGCUUAACACAUGCAAGUCGAGCGGGGGAAGGUAGCUUGCUACCGGACCUAGCGGCGGACGGGUGAGUAAUGCUUAGGAAUCUGCCUAUUAGUGGGGGACAACAUCUCGAAAGGGAUGCUAAUACCGCAUACGUCCUAUGGGAGAAAGCAGGGGAUCUUCGGACCUUGCGCUAAUAGAUGAGCCUAAGUCGGAUUAGCUAGUUGGUGGGGUAAAGGCCUACCAAGGCGACGAUCUGUAGCGGGUCUGAGAGGAUGAUCCGCCACACUGGGACUGAGACACGGCCCAGACUCCUACGGGAGGCGGCAGUGGGGAAUAUUGGACAAUGGGGGGAACCCUGAUCCAGCCAUGCCGCGUGUGUGAAGAAGGCCUUAUGGUUGUAAAGCACUUUAAGCGAGGAGGAGGCUACUUUAGUUAAUACCUAGAGAUAGUGGACGUUACUCGCAGAAUAAGCACCGGCUAACUCUGUGCCAGCCGCCGCGGUAA
rnacentral:rRNA from 1 species